ACUACGGACGGUUAUCCUGACAGAAAGUAAUUUGUCCAUUAACUUUGUUUUGUGAUUGUCUUAUUGUGCGAGAAUGUGUUAUCAAGGAAAGAAGGAACAUCAGUGUGAAUAAAUUUAACGUCGAGGUUCGUUCCCUGUGAAAUACGAAGCAUGAUACGAAGCAGCCGGCGUUCAGUCCUUCAAGCUACACGGUGGAAAGUAUACGAAAAGUGGGGGGACUAUUGAUGCAGUUCACUGCGUGAGAAAGUGAACAUCGAUCGAGAAUGGGAUAUCUAGAUGCUAGGAGCAUGCGUUCAUAAAAAGAGAAGCUGUGGCACGUUGACCAUUCCGAAUCGGAAUUUUCUACACUACAAUCGUAAGAAAACAAUGCCAGUGAAACAAUGACUGUAUCUACUAGUUUCUUUUCAAAUAUUGGAUCAACAUUCAGAUUGAAGACAACGUAUGUGGGAUACGUUUACGGAUUUUUCUGGAUAAUAAUGGAAUCGAUGUCAUCCCAAUUUUCAGUGAUAUAGAAUAAGGUGAGUUUUAAUUGAAAUAUUUGUUGAGAAUAAUUUGAGAAUGAUUUAGAAACAAUUUCUUCGUGAUAAAAUCGAUGUGAUGGUAAAUUAAUUAAAUAAAAUUGUA